GUGUCUUUCUCUCACUCUCUGUCAGCGCCAAGUCUUGUUUGAUCGCCCAGAAGGUCACGUCUCUCUCAGAUCAACUUCUUCGACGAGGAGUUCGUCGCUCGGAGAAGAGGAAUAACCCCCGACUCCACCUCGGGUGGAUCAGGCGAACAACGCCCCGAUCCAACCUCGAGCUGACCCAGUCAGGAAACCAUGUUGACGAUCUUGCGCACUCGGAUUGGACCAAGCCGUGCUAAUAACUCGGCCACGGCGUGAAGUUGCAUAGCUCAACUUAUUUAGCAAACAAGAUUUUGAUCAUUAUUAUAUAAAUACUAUAAUCAAAUCAAAUAUUUGAUUUAGGAAUCAACUUUUACUUCCUUA